GUAGUCAUAUGCUUGUCUCAAAGACUAAGCCAUGCAUGUCUAAGUAUAAACACCUUUAUACUGCGAAACUGCGAACGGCUCAUUAUAUCAGUUAUAAUCUACUUGAUCGUAUCCUCUUACUUGGAUAACCGUAGUAAUUCUAGAGCUAAUACAUGCAAAAAUUCCCGACUGGUGACGGAAGGGAAGUAUUUAUUAGGUCCAAAAUCAAUGCUGGCCAUUCGGUCAGGAAAAAUUGAUGAUUCAUAAUAACUAAACGAAGCGCAGGGCUCGCUCCGGCGCUGAUACAAACGAGUUUCUGCCCUAUCAACUUUCGAUGGUAGUAUAGGGGACUACCAUGGUCGCAACGGGUAACGGGGAAUGA
rnacentral:rRNA from 1 species